rnacentral:misc_RNA from 1 species
GAUGAAGAACGCAGCGAAAUGCGAUACGUAAUGUGAAUUGCAGAAUUCAGUGAAUCAUCGAAUCUUUGAACGCAUAUUGCGCUCUUUGGUAUUCCGAAGAGCAUGCUUGUUUGAGUAUCAGUAAACACCUCAAAGCUUUUGGAUUUUUUAAUCGAAAAGCUUUGGACUUGAGCAAUCCCAACACCAAUCUUUUGAGAUCGGUGGCGGGUUGCUUGAAAUGCAGGUGCAGCUGGACAUUCUCCUGAGCUAAAAGCAUAUUCAUUUAGUCCCGUCAAACGGAUUAUUACUUUUGCUGCAGCUAACAUAAAGGGAGUUUGACCGUAUUGGCUGACUGAUGCAGGAUUUCACAAGGGUCGGCAACGAUUCUUGUUAAACUCGAUCUCAAAUCAAGUAAGACUACCCGCUGAACUUAAGCAUAUCAAUAAGCGGAGGA